rnacentral:piRNA from 1 species
UAGGACUAAUUGAGUCAUUAUUAAGGUCC